rnacentral:rRNA from 1 species
CCUACGGGAGGCAGCAGUAAGGAAUAUUGGUCAAUGGGCGCAAGCCUGAACCAGCCAUGCCGCGUGCAGGAAGACGGCCCUAUGGGUUGUAAACUGCUUUUGAACAAGAGAAAACCUCGGUACGUGUACCGAGCUGAUAGUAUUGUUAGAAUAAGCAUCGGCUAACUUCGUGCCAGCAGCCGCGGUAAGACGAAGGAUGCAAGCGUUAUCCGGAUUCAUUGGGUUUAAAGGGUGCGUAGGCGGACCGAUAAGUCAGUGGUGAAAUCUCUCAGCUUAACUGAGAAACUGCCAUUGAUACUGUCAGUCUAGAGUACAGAUGAUGUGGGCGGAAUAUGACAUGUAGUGGUGAAAUACUUAGAUAUGUCAUAGAACACCGAUUGCGAAGGCAGCUCACAAAACUGUAACUGACGCUGAGGCACGAAAGUGCGGGGAUCAAACAGGAUUAGAUACCCUGGUAGUCCGCACCGUAAACGAUGAUUACUCGUUGUUGGCAAUAUGACCGUCAGCGACCAAGCGAAAGCGAUAAGUAAUCCACCUGGGGAGUACGACCGGCAACGGUGAAACGUCAAAUGAAUUGACGG